AUGACUUUGAUCUGCGUCCUCAUCUGGACUCUCCUCUGCUUGACUCAAGGGUCUGCUGGACAAAACGUUGUGGUGACUCAGUCAGCAUCCAAAUCUGUGCAGCUUGGUCAGACUGUAAACAUCAACUGUAAAGUCAGUACACAAGUAGCUCAGUAUUCUGGUUCACAAUACUACCUGGCCUGGUACCAUCAGAAAACUGGAGAAGCUCCCAAAGCUCUGAUCUACAGAACAUCAGACAGACUUUCAGGAAUUUCCUCCAGACUGAGUGGAAGUGGAGCAGGGAAUGGCCUGGACUUCACUCUGAGCAUCAGUGCAGUCCAGGCUGAUGAUGCAGGAGUUUAUUACUGUCAGAGUUACCACAGCACUCCGAUGUUCACACAGUGAAAAACACUCGUACAAAAACCUCACAGACGGAAGUGACUGCUGCAGCUGGAAGAUCAUCACUGUAUCAGUGUCUGCAGUGAGGACACAC